rnacentral:rRNA from 1 species
CCUACGGGAGGCUGCAGUGGGGAAUAUUGGACAAUGGGCGAAAGCCUGAUCCAGCCAUGCCGCGUGUGUGAAGAAGGCCUUCGGGUUGUAAGGCACUUUCAGUGGGGAAGAAAGCCUUGGGGCUAAUACCCUCGAGGAAGGACAUCACCCACAGAAGAAGCACCGGCUAACUCCGUGCCAGCAGCCGCGGUAAUACGGAGGGUGCGAGCGUUAAUCGGAAUUACUGGGCGUAAAGCGCGCGUAGGCGGUCUGAUAAGCCGGUUGUGAAAGCCCCGGGCUCAACCUGGGAACGGCAUCCGGAACUGUCAGGCUAGAGUGCAGGAGAGGAAGGUAGAAUUCCCGGUGUAGCGGUGAAAUGCGUAGAGAUCGGGAGGAAUACCAGUGGCGAAGGCGGCCUUCUGGACUGACACUGACGCUGAGGUGCGAAAGCGUGGGUAGCAAACAGGAUUAGAUACCCCAGUAGUC